rnacentral:rRNA from 1 species
CCCUACGGGGGGCAGCAGUGGGGAAUAUUGCACAAUGGGGGAAACCCUGAUGCAGCGACGCCGCGUGAGUGAAGAAGUAUUUCGGUAUGUAAAGCUCUAUCAGCAGGAACGAGACAAGACGGUACCUGACUAAGAAGCCCCGGCUAAAUACGUGCCAGCAGCCGUGGUAAUACGGAGGGUGCGAGCGUUAUCCGGAUUUAUUGGGUGUAAAGGGAGCGCAGACGGCAGGGCAAGUCAGAGG